AGAGUUUGAUCCUGGCUCAGGACGAACGCUGGCGGCGUGCCUAACACAUGCAAGUCGAACGGAGUGAAACCCUUCGGGAUUUCACUUAGUGGCGAACGGGUGAGUAACGCGUGAGGAACCUGCCUUUCAGUGGGGGACAACAGUUGGAAACGACUGCUAAUACCGCAUAAUGCUUUUGGAUCGCAUGAUUUAAAAGCCAAAGAUUUAUUGCUGAAAGAUGGCCUCGCGUCUGAUUAGCUAGUUGGUGGGGUAACGGCUCACCAAGGCGACGAUCAGUAGCCGGUCUGAGAGGAUGAACGGCCACAUUGGGACUGAGAUACGGCCCAGACUCCUACGGGAGGCAGCAGUGGGGAAUAUUGGGCAAUGGGGGAAACCCUGACCCAGCAACGCCGCGUGAAGGAAGAAGGCCUUCGGGUUGUAAACUUCUUUUACCAGGGACGAAAAAAGUGACGGUACCUGGAGAAAAAGCAACGGCUAACUACGUGCCAGCAGCCGCGGUAAUACGUAGGUGGCGAGCGUUGUCCGGAAUUAUUGGGCGUAAAGAGCAUGUAGGCGGUUUUUUAAGUCUGGAGUGAAAAUGCGGGGCUCAACCCCGUAUGGCUCUGGAUACUGGAAGACUUGAGUGCAGGAGAGGAAAGGGGAAUUCCCAGUGUAGCGGUGAAAUGCGUAGAUAUUGGGAGGAACACCAGUGGCGAAGGCGCCUUUCUGGACUGUGUCUGACGCUGAGAUGCGAAAGCCAGGGUAGCGAACGGGAUUAGAUACCCCGGUAGUCCUGGCCGUAAACGAUGGGUACUAGGUGUAGGAGGUAUCGACCCCUUCUGUGCCGGAGUUAACGCAAUAAGUACCCCGCCUGGGGAGUACGUCCGCAAGGAUGAAACUCAAAGGAAUUGACGGGGGCCGCACAAGCAGUGGAUUAUGUGGUUUAAUUAGAAGCAACGCGAAGAACCUUACCAGGGCUUGACAUCCAACUAACGAAGUAGAGAUACAUUAGGUGCCCUUCGGGGAAAGUUGAGACAGGUGGUGCAUGGUUGUCGUCAGCUCGUGUCGUGAGAUGUUGGGUUAAGUCCCGCAACGAGCGCAACCCUUAUUGUUAGUUGCUACGCAAGAGCACUCUAGCGAGACUGCCGUUGACAAAACGGAGGAAGGUGGGGACGACGUCAAAUCAUCAUGCCCCUUAUGUCGUGGGCUACACACGUAAUACAAUGGCGCACACAGAGGGAAGCAAAACCGCGAGGUGGAGCAAAUCCCUAAAAGGCGUCUCAGUUCGGAUUGCAGUCUGCAACUUGACUGCAUGAAGUCGGAAUUGCUAGUAAUCGCGGAUCAGCAUGCCGCGGUGAAUACGUUCCCGGCCCUUGCACUCACCGCCCGUCA
rnacentral:rRNA from 1 species